rnacentral:rRNA from 1 species
GACGAACGCUGGCGGCGUGCUUAACACAUGCAAGUCGAACGAAGUGGCGAACGGGUGAGUAACGCGUAAUCAACCUGCCCUUCGAGGGGGGACAAUAGUGGGAAACGACUGCUAAAACCGCAUACUGAAGGAGGGGAUUGCGUGUGAUUAGCUAGUUGGAGGGGUAACGGCCAACCAAGGCGAUGAGCAGGAGCCGGUCUGGGAGGAUGAACGGCCACAAUGGGACUGAGAAACGGCCCAGACUCCUACGGGAGGCAGCAGUGGGGAAGCUUCCGGCAUGGACGGAAGUCUGACGGAGCAACGCCGCGUGGUUGAUGACGGCCUUCGGGUUGUAAAGCUCUGUUAAUCGGGACGCGGUACCGGAAUAGAAAGCCACGGCUAACUACGUGCCAGCAGCCGCGGUAAUUC